rnacentral:ncRNA from 5 species
AACGCACCUUGCGCUCCUUGGUAUUCCGAGGAGCAUGCCUGUUUGAGUGUCAUUAAAUUCUCAACCCCUCCAGCUUUUGCGAGUUGUGAUGGGGCUUGGAUAUGGGGGCUUGCGGGUCUUUACUGAUGUAAAGGUCAGCUCUCCUGAAAUACAUUAGCGGAACCGUUUGCAGUCCCGUCACUAGUGUGAUAAUUAUCUACACUGUGAUGGAUUGCUCUCUGACUAGUUCAGCUGCUAAUCGUCCGUUAUGGACAAUGUUUAAUGAACUUCUUGACCUCAAAUCAGGUAGGACUACCCGCUGAACUUAA